rnacentral:lncRNA from 1 species
UCACUGUUUAGUACUCCCUUGCAGCAAAUUGGAACGGAAGAAUGGGGACUUAUGCAAGUCCUGUAUUCCUUGAAAACAUGUUUGCUGUGCAAAAAGUGAGUGGAUCUCUUUCAGCUAUCUGCCUUUAGUUAAAGGGGGGUGGAUACAAAGCAACAUAAAGAUAGAAACUUCCAAGGAACUUUGCAGUUUUUGCAACUUGGAAACUAUUUUAGAAAGUUGGAAACUAUUGCUGGGCUGUGGUCGAAAGAAAAUUGUGGCUGGA